rnacentral:rRNA from 1 species
GUAGGUGGCAAGCGUUGUCCGGAAUUAUUGGGCGUAAAGCGCGCGCAGGCGGUUCUUUAAGUCUGAUGUGUAAGCCCACGGCUCAACCGUGGAGGGUCAUUGGAAACUGGAGAACUUGAGUACAGAAGAGGAAAGCGGAAUUCCACGUGUAGCGGUGAAAUGCGUAGAGAUGCGGAGGAACACCAGUGGCGAAGGCGGCUUUCUGGUCUGUAACUGACGCUGAGGCGCGAAAGCGUGGGGAGCAAACAGGGAUUAGAUACCCUGGUAGUCCACGCCGUAAACGAUGAGUGCUAAGUGUUAGGGGGUUUCCGCCCCCUUAGUGCUGCAGCUAACGCAUUAAGCACUCCGCCUGGGGAGUACGGCCGCAAGGCUG